rnacentral:rRNA from 1 species
AAAGCUGAGGCGGUAUAGGAGGGGCUCGCGGCCCAUUAGAUAGUUGGUGAGGUAACGGCCCACCAAGUCGACGAUGGGUAGCCGACCUGAGAGGGUGAUCGGCCACAUUGGAACUGAGAUACGGUCCAAACUCCUACGGGAGGCAGCAGUGGGGAAUAUUGGGCAAUGGAGGCAACUCUGACCCAGCAACGCCGCGUGAAUGAAGAAGGCCUUCGGGUUGUAAAGUUCUUUAAUUGGGGACGAAGAAAGUGACGGUACCCAAAGAAUAAGCCACGGCUAACUACGUGCCAGCAGCCGCGGUAAUACGUAGGUGGCAAGCGUUGUCCGGAAUGACUGGGCGUAAAGGGAGCGUAGGCGGCGCAGUAAGUUAGGAGUGAAAUCCCGGGGCUUAACCCCGGAACUGCUUUUAAAACUGCUGUGCUAGAGUGAUGGAGAGGAAAGCGGAAUUCCUAGUGUAGCGGUGGAAUGCGUAGAUAUUAGGAGGAACACCAGAGGCGAAGGCGGCUUUCUGGACAUUAACUGACGCUGAGGCUCGAAAGCGUGGGGAGCAAACAGGAUUAGAUACCCUGGUAGUCCACGCUGUAAACGAUGGAUACUAGAUGCGGGAGGUAUCGACUCCUUCC